UACGUAGGGUGCAAGCGUUAAUCGGAAUUACUGGGCGUAAAGCGUGCGCAGGCGGUUGGGCAAGACAGAUGUGAAAUCCCCCGGGCUUAACCUGGGAAUGGCAUUUGUGACUGCCCGGCUAGAGUGUGUCAGAGGGGGGUAGAAUUCCGACGUGUAGCAGUGAAAUGCGUAGAGAUGUGGAGGAAUACCGAUGGCGAAGGCAGCCCCCUGGGAUAACACUGACGCUCAUGCACGAAAGCGUGGGGAGCAAACAGG
rnacentral:rRNA from 1 species